AAUUUUUUUUUUCAUCAAACCCAUACGUGUGGGGUAUCUAUGGAUAGGUCUUCAAAAAUGAUAUUGAGGUUUCUAAUAUAAUUUUUUCUAAACUGAAUAGUUUGCGCGAGAGACACUUCCAAAGUGGUAAAAUGUGUGUCCCCCUCCCUGUAACUUCUAAAAUAAGAGAAUGAUAAAACUAAAAAAAAUAUAUGAUGUACAUUACCAUGCAAACUUCCACCGAAAAUUGGUUUGAACGAGAUCUAGUAAGUAGUGUUUUUUUAAUACGUCA